AGCGAAAUAGCUCAGUUGGCUAGAGCACAUGGUUCAUACCCAUGGGGUCAAGGGUUCAAGUCCCUUUCUCGCUA
rnacentral:tRNA from 1 species